ACGGCUGCAUUGCUGUCUGUCUGUCUGUCUGUCUGUCUGUCUGUCUGUCCGUGGCCGUCGUCGUGUGCCGAAGUAUAUCCUGCACAACCAGCACGGUUUUAAUGCUCUUGGUACACUGCGAUUAGUGGGAGUAAUGUCGUGAACGCGAUGGAAGUCAAGGAACGGGAAAUGUGUAAAAGAAAACCGUUGUGCUGCCAUCUGUGGCGGAUGGCACGAACCAAAGUUCGCAAAGACAAAGUAAAACUUUUCAGUAUUAACUGUUCAGUGAAUUUUAACAAGAUGGGCAGUGUUCUAAUAUAAUUUCUUGUCGACAAUCCGGUUCAAAACCCUCUUCAUUUUUUUUUUUCGGAGCCGUUUCACUAUACAGUUAAAUAUUUUGCUUUGCUUAUCAAAAGAUUCUAUAGUCGACGUAGCUGCUCCGGCAGUGAAUUAUAGCGGUGGGUGAAGAAACUACGUGUGAUUUGCGUUCAGAACUGCAGUUUAAAACACUAUUUGUGUACAUUUAUCACCCGCGGCAUUAUUUUAAAGAAUUCUGCGUUAAAUGUCGUGUUCGAGUUUCGUAUUUUAAGUGUAUUUGCAACAUGAGAACGCAUGAAUUUGCUCGUUGCCGAGGUCAGAUGUUUACACAUCACUGGCGAGUACUGAAAGACUGGCUCACAUUUGUUAAGGUAAUUAAUAAGUAUACAAGAUGGAAGAAAGGGAGGGGAGAGUAUCUUGCACAGCCCGCACGGCUUGUGGGUGGUUGGUGAGUAUCAGAGGCGCAGGAAAUAUAUAGCACUUGCUGUGACUUUGAGAAAAAAAAAUUUCACGAAGCAGUUCAAAACACUCAACGUUGGUAGACAGGCCAGUGUCCAGAAUUCCCCUUUUAAGAACCUUGCUCCAAGAAAGACACUAUGAAAUCCUUUUUCUCUUUCAAGUUAUUUGACACCCAAAAUGACAUGUUUUGACGUAGAUCUUGAGAUCCAUUAUGACUCGAUUUAUUAAUACAUACCCCCUCCAAAAGGUCUCAAAACGUUUAAGACGAAACGUCUCCAGAAUCGACGAUGGAGGAAACGUCUUUAGAAAAAGUCUUACGAUUAAGACAUUUAUCUUAAGAAAACUGAUGCAGAAUAGCCACUCACAAAAGCAAUAAUUAACGAUACGAAAAAUCUAACUCUACUAAAGAAUAAUUGCGCAGAACUGAUCCAUGAGUUGUGUCGAAAACAACAUAUCGCCCCGGCAACCCUUUACCUCAAACAUUAUUGUAUAAUACCUAACUAGCCUCGUAAAAAUUUAAAACAUAUUUUGGUAAUUUGUGUAUAAACAGAAUUUCAGCCAAUUAAAAACUCUAGAAACCAUUUGAAUCUCAAUAUGCGGGACCCCUCUAAGGGAAAUUGCCCCAGCAAUUUUUUAACUGAAAUUACUAAUAAACUUUAUGAAUAUUAUUCGUCAUUAUUUUGAAAGACAUUUAAAACCCGCUAUGUUUAAUUUAUUUGUAACGUGUGUUUGUGUGUUUGCUGCCUCUGGAAUCAGUGGACUAGGGUAGUAGAGUCAAACAGAGACGAACUACGGAGAAACUAAUUUUUGAACGAACUAUGCAACAAAAAAAAAAGGAAGGGAAACGGUGUGUUGAAAAUGGCCUAACGCAGUUGACAAGCUCUGCAACAUUAUUGUUGUGUUUUAGCUGCUUAUGGAUGGCUAAACUUAGUGCUAGUUAGCUAGGUAACAGGGCAAUACUGUAAAGUUUUGUUUAAGGGAUAAAUCUGCAUUUCUAUAAACGCAGUGAGUUCACUGUCUUACCAGUAACCACCAUUGUUGUUGACUGGUAGGUGACGCCUAGUCACUUAUUCAAUCUGUAGUGAACUGACACUAUUAAGACCUAUUUUAAAAGAAACGUUUAAUAUUUUUUUUACCAAAAUCAACAAACUAUUUCAAUAUAUUUUAAUAUUCCGAAAUUGACUACAAACUGAACUUAAAAACAAGACGAGCACUCGUCAUCCCAGUAAUUCUUAGAAAAGGAUUAGGUUUGCCUACCACUGGUUUUUAGUAAUUGGAACCCAUAAAAUUAAACUGGUUCAGAGAAACGUUAACAGUGUUAUACAUUCUAACCUGAAAAAAAUAUUUUCGUUCAAUGAUACUUUUGUUUGAUUUUGUAGACUAUUUAGAGUAUAUGUUGAGUAUAACCAACAGCGUACAAGUUACACUAUAAAAUAAUGAAACCUAUUUAUUUAUUGUGGGUCAGAAGCCAACUGAAUUUAGUAACCUACAUUUGCAAGUCCUUAUUGAGAUAUUUUGUAAAGAGUCACAUUCUAGUGUAUAUAUGUACACAACCUGUCUAGUAGUAAAGAAUUCAUAUUUCCGAUUUGUAAGCCAAGAGAGGCCUAGUAUCAUAUUAAAUCUUAUAUGUCACACUGAUUUUAUUUAUAUAUGUAUGUACUUGCGCAGCUGUAACAUCUUUAUUUUUUGUUUUAAGUUAUAUGAAUAAAUUAAUGAAAAUAAAAAAUAUAUUAAUUAUUUAAUAAAAUUAUUUAUAAAUCUUUACAAAUUACAUGCACGUAAGAUAAGUUCAGUAAAAAAAACUAUACCCAAGAAUAACGAAAAUUUAUUACAAGUAAAAUAAAAUAUAAACUAGACCAACAAAUCACAAGAGAAUAUAAAAUUAAUCAAUAUUAGCACAUAAAAAAGACACGAUUCAACGUGUAAGGUAUAAAAAUUGUAAUUUAAACAGGAUUUUCAAAAGUUGACUUGAUUCUAUAUUUUUAACGAUAUUUCAGAAUACCUUGUAACAAAAUUUGAUCAAAAAUUACCAAGACAUAAAAAUCCUAAAAAAUUCAAAUACAUUUCUAACAAUAAUUCAUAUAAAUUUACACGCAUGUUUAGUCGCACGUCUACUGAACCAUUGUUAAACCUGAGCAUGGGAAUUCAACAAGUAUCGGAAUAAUGAUUUCUUAAACACCAAAAGGGAAAUUUUAAGUAUGGUUGUUUCGGGUAGUUCAUUCUAGGCACGUACAGUACUUGUGCAUGCAAUUUGUUUUAGCUAUGUUUUACAAUGACACGGAAACGGAGACGGAUCUCACGCAACAGGGUUCCUACAACGGCACGCAGAUGGAGACGGACCCGCACGUAUUAGCUCGGCGAUGCUGAGUUCUUCCGUUUACGUUGCUCCGUGCGACCAAUAGAAACCAAGUAUUUGGGUGCGGUGAUAGCAAUUUUUUUUUUAUGUUCUGGAUACGUUAAAAAUUGUUUCAUGAACAAGAAUAUCUAGUAUUACUUUGUGGUUUAUUUUAAUUAUAAAUGUAGAUUCUGCCAAUGCUAUAAUCUUGAAGCAUAAUAUACCUAUAUUUUUAACUAAAUUGAUUUUUUCUAACCUUGGAAUGCAAUCUCAUCGGUUGCCGUUUGUAGAAGCGUCAGACGCGAUAGUGAACUGUCCUGGUAGAUGCGUCUCCGUUUCCGCGCAGUUGUAGGACGGGCCUCAAAGAAAAUCUCCAUACGAGUUUUUCCGCCGCACCUACGCCAACGUGCCAUGCGGAAUUCCACGAGGCCUCGCGCCUGCCAUUGGCCGAGCCGCGAGCUUGGACACACCUCUCGUCUGUGGUCGCCAGCGGCCAACCACGAGGCUGUAAACAGGAAGCGGCACAGCGCUGCUCUCCGCGUGACCGCCGCGGCUGUCACGGCUGUCACGCCACCUCACUUGGCCUGCCGAGGCGAUUACGUAGUUUGGUAUUUACCGUGCUUUGCGGUUUGCUAUCGGGGUUUUGAUAGGAAACCAAGUCAAGGCCUUUUCAUUUCGCCUCAUUCAAAUGUUCAGCUCCUCCUGUGUUAACCAGUGUCGGAAACAAGAUUCAAAUGUUGUGGAAACCUAACGGUUUUCGGUGAAAUUCAUCAUCAUAAUUAUGGUUGCAUCUGGUUUUUAAUAUAACCUUAGUUUUGAAAGUUACGCAAGAGUAGCACCAAAAACUGUAAAAUAAUAUUUUUUUUCCAUAAAAAUUUAAUUGACAUCGCAGGUUAGAUGAAACUACGGUAGAUUUUUUUGUCAUACCUCCAGCCCUUUUUUUACUCCUAGGCAUUAUGGGUUGGGGAAUGACAUCCAUAACACCUCCUAUAGGUAGGACCGUCACUAAUGUUUCCUCCAGUAUAACCCUUAUGUAAAGCAAGACUAAAUUUUUAGUUAAUUGCUAACUUUGGUACAUAAUUUUUAAUUUCACUUUAUUACUCAACUAAUUGUAAAAAAAUACUAGAUUUAAAAAGUGCGAAGUGCCCAAAACAAUAUCUGAUUAAGGUUUUAUUUUUUUUUACCUUGUUUUACUAUUCUGUGACUGUUUAAUGAGUAAAGUUGGACAAGAUAACAAACUUCAAUAGGCUGUCAAAAAUGUGUGCAUUGUUUUGUAUUUUUAUACAUCUGAAUCAACUCACAGUGUUAACGGGUAUGAUGAAGUAAGUUGAGAAAGAACGGUGGGAAACCAUGCAAAACUAAAUGACGCACUGUACAUCCACACAUCGGGAUGUGAAGACCAGGCGGUUGCCACGUCUGCAUGGUUACAUGGUAACCGGGUAAAUAAGUUUUUGUUUAGAUCAUAGUCAGCGUCGUUGGUUAGACGCUCAAAACAUUUGCUGGAGUGCAAUGUUUGCAUUUGGAACCAGUUUUAAAUUACUGUAUUUUUAUACUUACUAACCAUAAUCAGACGUGGUCGAGCACCAAUUUAUCAAGGUUUUGGGUGUGACUAUAUGGCGAGGUAAAAAUGUGACUUUAUCUACGUCACAGCAUGCUGUCUCCUGACAAUUCCUAGCUCCAUGGUUAAGAUCAUGUCUCAAUUAAAAGAGCGCUAUUGGGAUAGAGAGUCGCUCUUUCUGCAUCAUUACGCAAGAAAUAUGUCGUGCUCUUUCGUGCUCUUCGACUAAUUUUAUUUAUUUUUUUCAUUUGGGACAAUGCACUCUCGCAUUGAUAAACAAACAAGACAUGCGCAGAUAGCAGAACAUGUAUGUGAAAUUUUUAAUGAACUUUAUAUAGGCCUACAGAAAAAAAAAAAAAGAAGAAAAUCAUGAUGCCACAUUAUCUAGCUUAAAAUUCCAAGCAGCAUAUGAAGAUCAAAAUUGAUUAACGUUAAUUCGAUAAACAUUGUUAAUAUCAAUAAAAACACUAACUUAAUUUAAUCACUUACAGUUUUUUUAUUGUGCCUUUCGCGGACUUCCCAUGUGUUAAAAUUCAUUGCAAAUUUAUCAAGUUCAAAGUUAAUGCAUAUAAAAAUAAUAAAUUAUUUUGCAUUUUAAUGCCGGGUUUACAACUUACACAAGACACGCAAGGACUCAAGAAACACAAGACGCAAAAAAAAGUGAAAUAACGUCGUUUUCAAAUACCACUCGUUUAGAAUCUACGCAAGACGCAUUAUAAAAUAAUCAUAAGCAGUAGUAGGUACAUAAAGCAAGGAUCUGCCGUUCAUAAGCAUCACGUUUUAUCUAAAAAUUUCACGUUUUGAAAAAAGCACUUGAAGGUCAUCAGAUAGCAAAAAAUGCGUAACUAUUAAAGCAUCAUCAUUUGAAAAAUUUUCUGGGGGAGGAACAUCGGACCAGCCGUUUUUGCGAACGGGGAGGGAGGAUCCCCCAAAACAGACCUAUAAAAAUGUAUUUUGUUAUAGUUUUAAUUUGGUCCCUCUUCUCCUACAAAUUCUGGCUACGUCCAUGGUUAUUGACGGGGGUGUGUCGAAAAUGAAACCAAGACAGGAUUGGGGAUACAGCUUUCACCAUAUUGAAAAAUACUUUUGUUUAAUUUAUUUUCGUAAGAACGUACCUAUAGAUAUACUGGGAAUAUUGAAAUUGCCUGUCGCAGCGAUUUGAUUGACCUCACUUCUGCUAGCGCAUGUUCCAUCUGGAUUAUUCCAAUAUAUUUGUAAAAAUAUGAUUUGUUUAAAAAAAAACUGUUUCGCUGUUUUAUUGCGUACCAGUCAAAUAAUAGUACCUACCCUUGCGUACUACGACUGCUUUAUCGUGAUAAUAUGAUACACAAUGCGCUAUUAUGGUACAAAUACCAUGGCAAUGGUACGUCUUAACAGACACUUCAGCACAUUAGAGCGCUCUAGCGGUCAGAGCAGAACUAGGUGCUGCUGAAUACCCACUCUGCUCAAUAGGUACCGCUAAUAGUCACAAUGUACAACAGCCCCUUUCGUUUCAACAAGGAAGGACACAAUUUGAGGAUAUUCACUUCUUGAUGAGUCUUGGUGUAUUAGGAGUUUACCUUUAGGGUGUUUGUUCACCCCUUAAAAAUAUAAUGCGCACUGGCCAGCCAAUUCUGCCAAAAAAAUCAUUUCAACAUUUAAGAACAAUUAAUAUGAUAGUUAAGUUUUACUUGCCUCCCAGAAGUUCGUUUCGAUUCUUACCGACGGUUAUUUUUUUAUAAUUAAAAAAUAAUAAAUUCAACAUUUACAAAAUAUUUAAUUUAAUUAUAAUCAUAUUUUAGUAACUACGGGAAUUUUUUACUUAUUAGAUUUACUUGAUAUUUAAUUUACAGUAACAAUAAUUCAAUAAUCACAAGAGACAUUAGAAUUUUUAUUUAUAUUAUUAUACCUAUUAUCACUUUAUAUUUGAAAUAUUGAAUUAUUACAGUAAUUUAAAUAUCGCAUAAUAUCUAAGAAAUAAAAAAAAUUAAACACUAAAUUUACAUUCGCAUUUAAUAAAAAAAAAAUAACGGUUAUGCUGGAGUUUCAAUAGCGCGACGGCGACGUGCGACAGAAAAAUAUUGCGUCAUUGUAAAUACGCGGUUUUUACCCGCGCGACAACAAAAAAAAAAAUAAACGGGUGUAUAUAAAAAUUAUCUUGCUGUUACAUACGUACGCAUCAAACAUACAAAAGCCAUCAAUGCUUGCAAGUUUUUUUUUUAAUAGGUAUGUUUGAGAGAGAAAUUUGUUUAACUCCAAUUUAACAUCCAAUUGUAAAAAUCACUGUGCGUAGAAACAUUUCAGAGGUUUCACAGAAACAUUUAGUAUACAAAACGUUAAAACUGCAAAAAUAAUAAUAAUAAUAAUAAUAAUAAUAAUAAUAAUAAUAAUAAUAAUAAUAAUAAUAAUAAUAAUAAUAAUAAUACCAAUGCACCAGUUCAACAAUAUUUCGAGAAAUAACAAAAUUCUGGCACGUGUUUCAUUAACGCUGCGACCGCGACGCGAUGGAAAUAGAAAAUAUUUCAAUUCGGGAAUUCUGUCGCGUCCCCCAGUUUGUUCACGCUGACGCCAUAGAUGUGUCGAACGUUGAUUGGAUGGAAAUCUUCGCGUCACUACCUAAUUUUUAAGGCGGAAUUACGAAAGCCCUUCGCCUCCGUCCGUCAAUCUUUCCGUCAAUCUUUCGUCUGUCAAUGUCACGCAUCUGGCCAAAGUAAUUUACAACUUGACUCCAUCCAUCCGUCAGGAUAUUUUUUUUCCAAAUGAGUAUUGCCAACAAUCCGUGUUUUUCUCUCGGAGAAUUAUAUAUAUGUUGUAGGCCUAUGCUAUUUAUGUCGUUUUUAUUUACGUAUUUUGUUUGCAUUUCCUAAAGAACAAUUCAGAGUCGUGAUUAAAAUACAAACUCCACGGGCCUGUGUCCUGGUAACAAUUGUCUGCCGCGGCCAAAACAAUAGCUAUUAUCCAUCCGCCCGCUCGUCAAAAUUUAGAGCAUGCCAUGCUUUUGACGGAUGGACGGAUGGAAUUUAUCGGGCCAUCCGAUUGGCUGCAGGGCACGUGACCGACGGACGGAUGACGGGCUAUCCGCCGCCUGAGGUGCUCCCUUCUGGGCCUCGGGGUUAGCCGAUGCCCUGUGCUGGUGUUAAGCCACGUCCAGACGAUGCGAUUUUUCGUGCAACUUGCGCUGUGCGCUGCGCGCAUGCAAUAGCGCAUGGCAAGCGCAAGCAGCCUGUGUGUCGAGCGCAUGCGCGUUUACCUGGAAAUCAGUAGCGCGUCUGGUAGCGCACGUGUUCCCGUUGUCAGUGGGUAUCAUCGGCCAUUUCCGUGCGCUACGCCGUGUUUGUCUACACAAGUUUGCAUGUGUUUGUGGUUGACGAGAGUUGUCAGAGUUCAGUUGAUUGAUACUGUGACUGUGCAUAGUGUAUAACAUAAUGUCAGAUAGCCAGGAAAGCACAUUGCAGUUCAUAGAAGACUACCGUAAACAUGAACUCCUGUGGAACACUAGCUUAAAAGAAUACAAAAACAAACAACUUCGAAGGGAUGCCAUCAUUGAACUAGGACGAAAGUAUGGACUAAAUGAAAAAGCUGUGAAAAAUAAGAUCAAAAGCUUACGUUGUUAUAUUAGCAAGGAGCAUGAUAAAGUCCGUAGUGCAAAAUGUGGCAUGUCAGCGAAUGCAAAGGAAGUGCCGUCAUGGUUCGCAUACAAAUCACUGUUGUUUUUGAAAGACACGGCCGUACCAUUUCAGACUGUGGACAGCAUUGAUGACAGCACCAACAAUGAUGACAACAAUGAGAUGAAUGUUCCUGAAGUAAACCAAGACACGCAUGCAGAGGACGAUGUGCUUCAUACUUCUCAUCUCGAAUCUCCGAUAGAGGGAACGUGUGCAGUUGUCAACACUACGAGUUCCAGAAUUAACAAACGAAAGAGUUCGGUGACCAGAGAGGAAGAAGCAUUCAAGAUCAUGAAAAGUGUGUGUGCAAACAUGAAAAUAAACGAUGUGCAUGCUUCCUUUGCAGACUUUGUUGCUCACAAGAUACGGAACCUACCAUCCACUCAAUUACAAAACAUUGCUCACAACCGUAUCACUAACAUUCUCUUUGAGAUCGAGUCCCAGGAUGUUGUUCAAUCAGUCGUCUCUCCAUUCCAACCACUAAAUUACCUGCCAAGCACAAGUUCCACGGGUUCUUCAUCGUCAGAGCAAUAUAUCGAGCUGCGUUUGCCUAAUCAUGAUGAAGCCGUUUAUGGUUUCGGCAACAGCAGUGGUAGCAAUGUGGUUGUGCCUGAGUAAUGUGUUCAUAAAUGUAUUGAAUGCAUCCCGGUAUUCUUAUAUUUUGUAUCCCUACUUUCGUUUCAUAUAAAGUGUAUUGUAUUUAA